CCCUCGUUCCUCCACGUGUGGUCCUGCGUAGUGACGAAGGGUCACAUUCCGUUGUAUGGACCACUGGUUUACAAACACGUGCUCAUGGUGUCUUUGG